ensembl:lncRNA
GGCAACAUAACGCAAACUCGGAACAAUCGAGUUCCAAUUCCAAAGUAGGGCAGAACUCUCUCAAGAUGCUAAUAUGACAACGUGUCAGCAGAAGACAUUGUCAAGGGUUAAAUCAAAUUGAAGGGAUGUUGUCACCAGCAUCAAGGCACAAUGUUGGUAAACUGAAGCCUAGGGCAAACCCUUUCGAAGUGCUCGAUGACAACAUUUCCCUGAUCAGGAAGAAGGAAAAGGAGAGCAGGAAACUGAGCCAGUUGGGCUUGCAGGUUCAUGAGAAGGUGACAUAUGCAGGCCGUAUGAAGGCCAAGCAGGCUGAUCUCCGCAGGAAGCUGAGAGAGGGGCUGGAGGAAGAGGACAUAGCCCAGCAAGGAGGGGAGGAGAGCAGGCUGGCCGAGCUACAAAACACCCCUGCCUGGAGGGCGGCCAUGAUCAAAGGUGGUGACAGACAGAAAGACAGACACACAUUCACGGACACAAGCACACCUACAUACACCAUGUUGCUACACCAUAAUUGACAUACACUGAGUGUACAAACGAUUAGGAACACCUGCUCUUUCAAUGACGUAGACUGACCAGGUGAAAGCUGGGAUCCCUUAUUGAUGUCCCUUGUUAAAUCUACUUCCAUCAGUGUAGAUGAAGGGGAGGAGACAGGUUAAAGAAGGAUUUUUAAGCCUUGAGACAUGGAUUGUGUAUGUGUGCGAUUCAGAGGGUGAAUAGGCAAGACAAAAGUUUGAAGUGCCUUUGAACGGGUUUGUGUGUGUCAAGAACUGCAAUGCUGCUGGGUUUUUCACGCUCAACAGUUUCAAAUCAAAUCACAUUUUAUUUGUCACAUAUACAUGGUUAGCAGAUGUUAAUGUGAGUAUAGCGAAAUGAUUGUGCUUCUAGUUCCGACAGUGCAGUAAUAUCUAACAGGUAAUCUAACAAUUCCCCAACAACUACCUAAUACACACAAAUCUAAAGGGGUGAAUGAGAAUAUGUACAUGUAAGUAUAUGGAUGAGCGAUGGCCGAGCGGCAUAGCCAAGGUGCAAAAAAUUGUGUAAAAUACAGUAUAUACAGUGGGGCAAAAAAGUAUUUAGUCAGCCACCAAUUGUGCAAGUUCUCCCACUUAAAAAGAUGAGAGGCCUGUAAUUUUCAUCAUAGGUACACUUCAACUAUGACAGACAAAAUGAGAAAAACAAAUCCAGAAAAUCACAUUGUAGGAUUUUUUAAUGAAUUUAUUUGCAAAUUAUGGUGGAAAAUAAGUAUUUGGUCAAUAACAAAAGUUUCUCAAUACUUUGUUAUAUACCCUUUGUUGGCAAUGACAGAGGUCAAACGUUUUCUGUAAGUCUUCACAAGUUUUUCACACACUGUUUCUGGUAUUUUGGCCCAUUCCUCCAUGCAGAUCUCCUCUAGAGCAGUGAUGUUUUGGGGCUGUUGCUGGGCAAUAUGGACUUUCAACUCCCUCCAAAGAUUUUCCAUGGGGUUGAGAUCUGGAGACUGGCUAGGCCACUCCAGGACCUUGAAAUGCUUCUUACGAAGCCACUCCUUCGUUGCCCGGGCGGUGUGUUUGGGAUCAUUGUCAUGCUGAAAGACCCAGCCACGUUUCAUCUUCAAUGCCCUUGCUGAUGGAAGGAGGUUUU